rnacentral:pre_miRNA from 14 species
UUCUUUGGUUAUCUAGCUGUAUGAGUAUUUCAGACGUCAUAAAGCUAGGUUACCGGAGUU